rnacentral:lncRNA from 10 species
UCACCUUCCAAAGGCCCCACCUGUCAAUACUAUCACCUUGGAAGUGAGGAUUUUCAACACAUGAAUUUUGGGGGAAUAUAAAUAUUCAGACCAAGCAAGUAGAGACUGGUGAGCAGACUAAGAUGAACAAGACAAACAGGCCUCAGCUGCAGCUCAACUCCAGUGAAACAAACCUGUUACGUAUGUGACAAACCCUCUACCCCUCAAAAAAAAAAAAAAAAAAAACUUCCAAAUCCUGCGAUUUUUUAGCCACUGCAUUUAAAUGUAAUUCGACAGCUGCUUUAAUGGAGCAAUUUCCUUCAUAACCCCAAAUCCAUUCGAUUCAAUAACAUUAGUUCCCUUAGCAAAUAAUGAGCAUCCAUUAGGUGAACAGCAACCAGCUCUAUGCUUAAACCCUAUAAAGUGACAGAAUGAGGGCAGGGGUUCUGGAUUCAGAUUACAUAUUUAAAAAAACAAACAAACAGUGGUGUCUGAUCAUCCGGAACACCGCAGCUUCUGCAAAUACCACCCACUCUGCCUAGGCCAAUAACAGCUUAAUGAGUCUGACGGUGGAGCCUAAACCAAAAGCUUGCUCCCAACACCUGUAUAUUCCCCCACUGUAAGUAUACCACUCAGCAAGGCAUCCAGGACAGCAAGAUGCUGACUGCUCCUCAGCAAAGAUCUGCCAGAGAAACCCACCAAUCCACAGUGCAGAUCCUGUGUGCCCACCCUGUGUGACUCCACAGUAGGAAGCAGCUGUGAUGACCUCGAAGUUCUGAGGGUGCAAAGACAAAAACCUUUGAAGACCAUGCCCUUGAGAAAAGCCCUCGCAUGGAGAAGGUGGCCUAGUAAACAAAUGCUACAAGGCAAGGAGGGGAAGUCACUACCAGAGAGAAAGUGCAGGCAAGACUGAAGACAAGGAGGUGGGCAUUCCAAGCAACAAGAAGAGCUUGUGCACAGGCAGAGAAGCAGCAAAGCCAACCUGGAUGAGAGUGACAGCACAUACUAAGACAAAGAACAGAGUGCAACAGAGAUCUGGGGGGAAGACAACAGAUCCGGAAAGGAUUUAUUUACUGUGAAAUGUAUUGAGAAGAUCCAAGGAAGACGACUAGGGACAGCUGGAGAAAGGCCAGACAGACCUGUCUGUUUCCACUUCAUCUUCCGCCAUGAUUAUAAGUUUCCUGAGGCCUCCCCAGAAGCCAAGGAGAUGGCCAGCAUCAUGCUUCCCGUGCAGCCUGCAGAACCGUGAGCCAAUUAAACCUCUUUUCCUUAUAAAUUACCCAGUCUCAGGUAUUUCUUUAUAGCAAUGCAAGAACUGACUUAAUAUACAGGGUCUUGCUCUGUCUCCCUGGCUGGAGUGCAGUGGCUCAAUCAUGGCUCACUGCAGUCUUGACCUCCUGGGCUCAAGUGAUUCUCCCACCUCAGUCUCCUGAGUAGCUAGGACUAUAGGCAUACAUCACCACACCCAGCUAAUUUUUGUAUCUUUUUGUACAGACGGGGUUUCUCCAUGUUGCCCAGUCUGGUGUCAAACUCCUGGGCUCAAAUGAUCCACCUUCCUUGGCCUCCCAAAGUGCCAGGAGUAUUACAUGUGUGAGCCACUGUGCCCAGCCACCCAAGGUAGUACAGACUUCAGGUUCAAACCAUGGAAUAUCACAGUGAACAAACCAUGGUAGGUGUUCAAAAGACACUGAAUAGAAGUUACUCCCAGCUGGGUGUGGUGGCUCACGCCUGUAAUUC